AACGAACGCUGGCGGCAGGCUUAACACAUGCAAGUCGAGCGCCCCGCAAGGGGUGCGGCAGACGGGUGAGUAACGCGGGGGAACGUACCUUUUGGUUCGUAACAACUCCGGGAAACUGGAGCUAGUACCGGGGAAGCCCUAACGGGGAAAGAUUUAUCGCCGAAGGAUCGGCCCGCGUCUGAUUAGCUAGUUGGUGAGGUAACGGCUCACCAAGGCGACGAGCAGUAGCUGGUCUGAGAGGAUGAUCAGCCACACUGGGACUGAGACACGGCCCAGACUCCUGCGGGAGGCAGCAGUGGGUAAUAUUGGCCAAUCGGCUCAAGCCUGAUCCAGCCCUGCCGCGUGAGUGAUGAAGGCCUUAGGGUUGUAAAGCUCUUUUGUCCGGGAAGAUAAUGACUGUACCGGCAGAAUAAGCCCCGGCUAACUUCGUG
rnacentral:rRNA from 1 species